GGGGAGUAUUUUAUGUACCAGGCUGCACUCCUUUCCCCUUCUCAUGCAAAUGGAAUCCCUUUCCCAGGACCUACACCCAUGCAGCAGCAUCAAGGCUACCCAGAUCUAUCCAGCCCACAACCCCAAGUCAGGGGAGAAAAAAUAUGGUGGCUCCUUUUAGAGCUUUUAAAUGGAAAUGUGAGUCAGUAUCUGACUGACCACCGAGGUCACCCUGUGCUGCAGGGGCUGCCGACUACCCCCAAAGGCUCAGAGUGGCCCGGGGAACUCUCAGUGCAGACCUGCUCUGCACAGCCACGCUGCUCAGCUCUGGCAGUGACCACUGCUGGCUGGGUGGCCAUACCAGCGAGCCCAGUGAAUACCAGAGGUAACAGGUUCUGCAGCAUCUUGGGCAUUACACAGAUGCCCUUGAGCUUGUUAGAUAAAGGCUGACAAAAACCAAGCACAUUAAGACAGAGCUUAAAAACAGAUUGACUAAUAAUAAUCCAAAGACCAGUGUACCUCUAACCACAUUUUUGUUUAUUUUUUAAUGUGUUUCCUUCAAAGUCUUUCUUGUGGCUCGCCCUACGCAGUUUACGUACUUGUUGAGAGUUUUAUCUGUUGGUGACAUUGUUUUCGCUGAACUCGUUUUUUCCGAGACCCUCUUUUCUCAUAGGCUCAGUUUCACCACCAUCUGCAGUCGGCCAGUUUCGGUGGCAGAAGAGGCCACAUCUGCUUCCUGGAGGCCCCCUGGGCAGAAGCAUGCAGUGGUGUCUCCUCCUGAUCUGGGCGCAGGGGCUGAGGCAGGCUCCCCUCCCCGCCUCAGGAGCGGUGACAGGCAGAAUAGUAACAGUGGGUAACAUUUCUGCAGAGGAAGGUGACUCUGUUACCUUGCAGUGUCACCUCUCCUCCACCACCGCGGAAGUGACUCAGGUCAACUGGGAGCAGCAGGACCAACCUCUAGCUGUGUAUCACCCUACCUUGGGAUGGUACAUCUACCCAGUCUUCAGGAAGCGAGUGGCCCCGGGCCCCAACCUGGACCUCAUCCUCCAGUCGCUGACCGUGAAUGACACAGGGGAGUACUUCUGCACCUAUUAUACCUACCCUGACGGGAUUUACAAAGCGAAACUCUUUCUGGAGGUCCUGCAAAGCUCAGUGGCUGAGCACAGCGCUGGCUUCCAGAUCCUGUUGGUUGGGGCCAUGGCCACAGGGUUGACGGUCAUCUGCAUGGCAGCCAUUGUGGUGGUCGUAUUGGCUAUAAAGAGGAAAUCUCUCAGAAUGCGUUCUGCAGAAAAUGACCUCAGAAGAACAUCAUCUGAACAGGAGGAACGGAAUCCCAGUGCUCCGUCAUUCCCUAGGAGCUGUGUCCAGGCAGAAGCAGCACCUGCCAGCCCCUGCAGAGAGCAGAGGGGAGAUGACUAUGCCGAGCCUCAUGACUACUUCAAUGUCCUGGGUUACAGAAGCCUCAGGAGCUUUGUCUUCCUGGCAGAGACUGGGUAGCUCCCAGAGGCAUCUUCUGGGACAUACAGUCCUGUCUUUGCUGAUACAGAUGGAGGUAUUUAGUUAGAGCAAUGAGCUGAAGCCUGUCCAGAACACCAAGUCCUUUGGAAGAGAGAUAGAGACAUGUAAAAUGCUGUUAUUUGCCAUGGCAGUUCACAGCAUUUUUCGUGCAAAACUGGUUCAAAUUGGUUGGGAGUAGAACACAAUUCACGAAUUGGAAAUGAGCUAGAAUGUAAUGACAAAAAGGGAGUGGUGUUUUGAUUUGGUGGAGAUAUAUACUGGGCCGAGGCUGGACUGAGAGUUGGGUGUUAUUUAACGUGAUUAUGGUAACUGGAAAAGUUUACAAAUACCAUUUGGAUCGUGAUAAAAACACAAAAGGAUCCAUAGACAUUGUAAAUGGGCAAGGUUACUAAAAUGAAUUUGAAUUAGACAGAAAAGAAACUUCCAAAUGGAAUUCAUUGAAAUAGAUUUUCCUUGGAGAAAAAAGAAGACAAUCCCCUAACAGCCAGAUUCCUGGAGACGUGGGCAAUGCAGUAGAGAAGCCGCUCCCCACAUGUAGCUAUCAAGCACACGAGAUGUGGUUAGUCGGAACUGAGAUGUGCUGGCCUGUAAGUGUGAAAUACACACUGGAUCUCGAAGACUUAAUAUGAAUAAUAAGAAUGUAAACUAUCACAUUGGUAAUUUAAAAAUAUUGAUUACCUGUCAAAAAGAUAACCUUUUGGAUAUAUUGGGUUAAAUAAAAUACAUUAUGAAAAUUGA